AGUGAACGCUGGCGGUAGGCCUAACACAUGCAAGUCGAACGGCAGCACAGUAAGAGCUUGCUCUUACGGGUGGCGAGUGGCGGACGGGAGAGGAAUACAUCGGAAUCUACUUUUUCGUGGGGGAUAACGUAGGGAAACUUACGCUAAUACCGCAUACGACCUACGGGUGAAAGCAGUGGAUCUUCGGACCUUGCGCGAUUGAAUGAGCCGAUGUCGGAGUAGCUAGUUGGCGGGGUAAAGGCCCACGAAGGCGACGAUACGUAGCUGGUCUGAGAGGAUGGUCGGCCACACGGGAACUUGGACACGGUCCAUACUCCUACGGGAGGGAGCAGAGGGGAAUAGUAGGCAAUGGGCGCGAGCCUGGUCCAGCCAUACCGCGUGGGUUGAGGAGGCCUUCGGGGUGUAAAGCCCUUUUGCUGGGAGAGAAGAGCAUCAGGUUAAUACCCCGCUGUUCUGACGGUACCCAAAGAAUAAGCACCGGCUAACUUCGUG
rnacentral:rRNA from 1 species